UACGGAGGGGGCUAGCGUUGUUCGGAAUUACUGGGCGUAAAGCGCGUGUAGGCGGCUUUGCAAGUCGGGUGUGAAAGCCCUCAGCUCAACUGAGGAAGCGCGCCCGAAACUGCAGAGCUUGAGUACCGGAGAGGAUGGCGGAAUUCCCCAAGUAGAGGUGAAAUUCGUAGAUAUGGGGAGGAACACCGGUGGCGAAGGCGGCCAUCUGGACGGAUACUGACGCUGAGACGCGAAAGCGUGGGUAGCAAACAGG
rnacentral:rRNA from 1 species